rnacentral:misc_RNA from 1 species
AAGUCGUAACAAGGUUUCCGGUAUCAAAUCAUAGCCCGGAAAGUUGUUUUGAUUCAGAGACCUCUGGCUACGUGAGAACAAUGGAACAGUUACAAUCGAGCGGUAGUUUCAUAGGCAUUGUUUCCCCAAGCAGUCAGUGUCGGAAAGUGUCAUUGAUUGUGCAAGGAUAGCGCUUCACGAUUCCUGUAGACCGUACACUCGGGCAGGAGCUAUGCCAAAGGGUCCCCAUGCCCCCUUACAACCCCACAGUUUAAUGUAAAGCUCAAUGUAAUACAUUGGGUAAAAAAACCGAACAACUGUUAACAAUGGAUAUCUUGGUUCUC